CUAUUUCUGUAAGAUUAACCGUUUUUGAGAUAUCGACUAAAAAGUUGAAAGGUCAAAGGUCAAGGUCAACCUUAAAAACAUUUAAAACACACUAAAAAUCAUCAAAAUAAGGUCAAAAACACAUAAUUCGCUAUCUGGGACAUGACCUUGACCUUUGACCUUGUGACCUUUGUCAAGGUCAUUAGUCCCCAAUGUCAUUGCUGAAGACCCCAUGGGUCUAGGACCUUUGGUUAUAUAGUAAAAGCUGAUUUUGUCUUUUCAGAAACCUAAAUCAGGGGUUAUGCCCCUUACAGAAAGGUCAAAUCUCUUCGGUCAAAAUGUAACAAAGUUGCGCCAUAAUGACCCAAACAUUUUCCACUAUUUAAAACUUCUGUAAGUAUAAUGGUUUCUGAGAUUAUCCCAUAACAAGGUGUUAGGUCAAAGGUCAAGGUCAACAUACAAAUUUGACCUUGAGGUAUUUUUCAAAGAUACAUGAAUUGAUGAUGAUUGGUGAAGAUCCUAGGUGUCUACGACUUACGGUUUCUGAGUUUUGGUGGCCAACCGACACCGGUUAAUUUUCAUAGGGGCAUAACCCUACCAAUGAGUCGUUGAAUCUUUUCGAUCCAAAUGUAACGAAGAACCGGGGUCUGGUCCUGAACAAAUUUCACCCUUCGUUUUUUUUCUACCUAUUACGGUUACGGUGUUGGAACGAUAACAAGGUUUUUGGGUUUCGGAGGGAUUACUCCGAACCGACAAAAUAUUUCGACUCACAGGGUGAGUUCCGGAUAGGUAUUCAUGACACCGAUACAAAGUGUGAACAUGAAAGCGACACGUCUUACGGUUAACGGCGGCUAAUUUGUCAAAGUUUGGCGGAAGAAUAAUAAUAAUAAUUAAAAUGUCAAUUGUUCUUGAACAAUUGAGAGGUCUUUCCUUUUCGAAAUGUAAAGUACAUGUUCCAAUAGGCGUAGAAUGCAUUGAAAAGCUCUCAAACACACAUAAAACCGUUAAAAAAUGACAAAAAACAACAAAUUCGAUAAUUUGGACAUGACCUUGACUUUUGACCUUGUAACCUUUGUGAAGGUCAUUGGUCCACAAUGUCAUUGUAAAAGACCCCAUGGGUCUAGGACUUUUCGUUCAAGAGUUAAAGCUAAUUUUACCUUUUCAGAAACCGUUAACGGGGUUAUGCCCCUUAAGAAUAUGUCAAAUCCUUUCGGUCAAAAUGUAAAAAAGUUGUGCCUCAGUCACCUUAAACAUUUUUCACUGUUUACUAUUUCUGUAAGAUUAACCGUUUUUGAGAUAUCGACUAAAAAGUUGAAAGGUCAAAGGUCAAGGUCAACCUUAAAAACAUUUAAAACACACUAAAAAUCCUUAAAAUAAGGUCAAAAACACAUAAUUCGCUAUCUGGGACAUGACCUUGACCUUUGACCUUGUGACCUUUGUCAAGGUCAUUAGUCCCAAUGUCAUUGCUGAAGACCCCAUGGGUCUAGGACCUUUGGUUAUAUAGUAAAAGCUGAUUUUGUCUUUUCAGAAACCUAAAUCAGGGGUUAUGCCCCUUACAGAAAGGUCAAAUCUCUUCGGUCAAAAUGUAACAAAGUUGCGCCUUAAUGACCCAAACAUUUUCCACUAUUUAAAACUUCUGUAAGUAUAAUGGUUUCUGAGAUUAUCCCAUAACAAGGUGUUAGGUCAAAGGUCAAGGUCAACAUACACAAUUUGACCUUGAGGUAUUUUUCAAAGAUCACAUGAAUUGAUGAUGAAUUGGUGAAGAUCCUAGGUGUCUACGACUUACGGUUUCUGAGUUUUGGUGGCCAACCGACACCGGUUAAUUUUCAUAGGGGCAUAACCCUACCAAUGAGUCGUUGAAUCUUUUCGAUCCAAAUGUAACGAAGAACCGGGGUCUGGUCCUGAACAAAUUUCACCCUUCGUUUUUUUUCUACCUAUUACGGUUACGGUGUUGGAACGAUAACAAGGUUUUUGGUUUCGGAGGGAUUACUCCGAACCGACAAAAUAUUUCGACUCACAGGGUGAGUUCCGGAUAGGUAUUCAUGACACCGAUACAAAGUGUGAACAUGAAAGCGACACGUCUUACGGUUAACGCGGCUAAAUUUGUCAAAGUUUGGCGGAAGAAUAAUAAUAAUAAUAAACAGAAGAAAUACAGUAAGGUCUUUCCCUUUAUAGAAAAAGGAAAGACCUUAAUUAAAAUGUCAAUUGUUCUUGAACAAUUGAGAGGUCUUUCCUUUUGUAAUGUAAAAUACAUGUUCCAAUAGACGUAGAAUGUAUUGAAAAGCUUUAAAACACACUGAAAAAUCCUUUAAAUAAGGUCAAAAACACAUAAUUCGCUAUAUGGGACAUGACCUUGACCUUUGACCUUUUGACCUUUGUCAAGGUCAUUAGUCCCCAAUGUCAUUGCUGAAGACCCCAUGGGUCUAGGACCUUUGGUUAUAUAGUAAAAGCUGAUUUUGUCUUUUCAGAAACCUAAAACAGGGGUUAUGCCCCUUAUAAAAAGGUCAAAUCUCUUCGGUCAAAAUGUAACAAAGUUGCGCCUUAAUGACCCAAACAUUUUCCACUAUUUAAAACUUCUGUAAGUAUAAUGGUUUCUGAGAUUAUCCCAUAACAAGGUGUUAGGUCAAAGGUCAAGGUCAACAUACAAAUUUGACCUUGAGGUAUUUUUCAAAGAUACAUGAAUU
rnacentral:lncRNA from 1 species